rnacentral:rRNA from 1 species
CACUGAGUACGAGUUGAUCCUGGCUACAGGACGAACGCUGGCGGCGUGCUUAACACAUGCAAGUCGAGCGGGGACAUGAAGAAGCUUGCUUCGAAAUGUUCUAGCGGCGGACGGGUGAGUAACGCGUGAGCAACCUUUCCUCUACUGGGGAAUAACACAGGGAAACUUGUACUAAUACCGCAUGAGACCACAGAGCUGCAUGGCUUAGGGGUCAAAGAUUUAUCGGUAGAGGGUGGGCUCGCGUCUGAUUAGGUAGUUGGUGAGGUAACGGCCCACCAAGCCGACGAUCAGUAGCCGACCUGAGAGGGUGAUCGGCCACAUUGGGACUGAGACACGGCCCAAACUCCUACGGGAGGCAGCAGUGGGGAAUAUUGGGCAAUGGGGGAAACCCUGACCCAGCAACGCCGCGUGGAGGAAGAAGGUUUUCGGAUCGUAAACUCCUGUCCUCAGGGAAGAGCAGAAGACGGUACCUGAGGAGGAAGCCCCGGCUAACUACGUG